GUCCACGCCCUAAACGAUGCCAACUAGUCGUUCGGAGAGGUAACUUUCUGAGUGACGCAGCUAACGCGUGAAGUUUGCCGCCUGGGGAGUACGGUCGCAAGAUUAAAACUCAAAGGAAUUGACGGGGACCCGCACAAGCGGUGGAUGAUGUGGAUUAAUUCGAUGCAACGCGAAAACCUUACCUACCCUUGACAUGUCUGGAACUUGUGAGAGAUCACUUGGUGCCUUCGGGAGCCAGAACACAGGUGCUGCAUGGCUGUCGU
rnacentral:rRNA from 1 species